rnacentral:tRNA from 1 species
GUUUCCGCGGUGUAGUGGUUACCACAUCCGCCUUACACGCGGAAAGCCCUUGGUUCGAUCCCGGGCGGAAACA